rnacentral:rRNA from 1 species
UAGAGUUUGAUCCUGGCUCAGAUUGAACGCUGGCGGCAUGCCUUACACAUGCAAGUCGAACGGCAGCGCGGACUUCGGUCUGGCGGCGAGUGGCGAACGGGUGAGUAAUACAUCGGAACGUACCCUGUUGUGGGGGAUAACUAGUCGAAAGAUUAGCUAAUACCGCAUACGACCUGAGGGUGAAAGUGGGGGACCGCAAGGCCUCACGCAGCAGGAGCGGCCGAUGUCUGAUUAGCUAGUUGGUGGGGUAAAGGCCCACCAAGGCGACGAUCAGUAGCUGGUCUGAGAGGACGAUCAGCCACACUGGGACUGAGACACGGCCCAGACUCCUACGGGAGGCAGCAGUGGGGAAUUUUGGACAAUGGGGGCAACCCUGAUCCAGCAAUGCCGCGUGUGUGAAGAAGGCCUUCGGGUUGUAAAGCACUUUUGUCCGGAAAGAAAUCGCGCUGGUUAAUACCUGGCGUGGAUGACGGUACCGGAAGAAUAAGCACCGGCUAACUACGUGCCAGCAGCCGCGGUAAUA